GCACCGAGACGAGUCCUAUGAGGACGAAGUGACUGACACCACGCUUCCAGGAAAAGCCACUAAGCUUCAGCUUAAGAAAAACCGUACCGCAAACCGACACAGGUAGGCAGGGUGAGAAUCCCAAGGCGCUUGAGAGAACUCGGGUGAAGGAACUAGGCAAAAUGGCACCGUAACUUCGGGAGAAGGUGCGCCCUUUGGUGUGGUCACGUGCGUGACUGAGCAUUGAAGGGUCGCAGUAACCUGGCCGCUGCGACUGUUUAUCAAAAACACAGCACUCUGCAAACACGAAAGUGGACGUAUAGGGUGUGACGCCUGCCCGGUGCUGGAAGGUUAAUUGAUGGGGUCAGCCGCAAGGCGAAGCUCUUGAUCGAAGCCCCAGUAAACGGCGGCCGUAACUAUAACGGUCCUAAGGUAGCGAAAUUCCUUGUCGGGUAAGUUCCGACCUGCACGAAUGGCGUAACGACAGCGGCGCUGUCUCCACCCGAGACUCAGUGAAAUUGAAAUCGCUGUGAAGAUGCAGCGUUCCCGCGGCAAGACGGAAAGACCCCGUGAACCUUUACUAUAGCUUUACACUGAACGUUGAGUUCUUCUGUGUAGGAUAGGUGGGAGGCUAUGAAACCAGGACGCUAGUUCUGGUGGAGCCAUCCUUGAAAUACCACCCUGAAGUGCUUGACGUUCUAACCUAGGCCCGUAAUCCGGGUCAGGGACCGUGUAUGGUGGGUAGUUUGACUGGGGCGGUCUCCUCCCAAAGAGUAACGGAGGAGCACGAAGGUACGCUCAGCGCGGUCGGACAUCGCGCACUGUGUGCAAAGGCAUAAGCGUGCUUGACUGCGAGAUCGACGGAUCAAGCAGGUACGAAAGUAGGUCUUAGUGAUCCGGUGGUUCUGUAUGGAAGGGCCAUCGCUCAACGGAUAAAAGGUACUCCGGGGAUAACAGGCUGAUACCGCCCAAGAGUUCAUAUCGACGGCGGUGUUUGGCACCUCGAUGUCGGCUCAUCACAUCCUGGGGCUGUAGCCGGUCCCAAGGGUAUGGCUGUUCGCCAUUUAAAGUGGUACGCGAGCUGGGUUCAGAACGUCGUGAGACAGUUCGGUCCCUAUCUGUCGUGGGCGUUGGAGAUUUGAGGGGGGCUGCUCCUAGUACGAGAGGACCGGAGUGGACGUUCCGCUGGUGUUCGGGUUGUCAUGCCCAUGGCAUUGCCCGGUAGCUACGAACGGAAGUGAUAACCGCUGAAAGCAUCUAAGCGGGAAGCACGCCCCAAGAUGAGAUCUCCCGAGAGCUUGACUCUCCUAAAGGCACCAUCAAGACUAGGUGGUUGAUAGGUCAGGUGUGGAAGCGCAGCAAUGCGUUGAGCUAACUGAUACUAAUGAGCCGUGAGGCUUGACCG
rnacentral:rRNA from 1 species